GGGACAAUGGUCUAGUGGUAUGAUUCUCGCUUCGGGUGCGAGAGGUCCCGGGUUCGAUUCCCGGUUGUCCCC
rnacentral:tRNA from 1 species